ensembl:rRNA 5S_rRNA 5S ribosomal RNA
GACCAGGGAAAAAGCUCAUCUUGGAAAGAAGAAAAUUCUGAAGAAAUACAAAAGCUUUUUGACUCGGAAGCUAAGCAUGGUUGGGCCUGGUUAGUACUUGGAUGGGAGACCACCUAGGAAGACCAGGUGCUGUGGGCG